rnacentral:lncRNA from 1 species
UCUAAAUAAAAUGGGCGAUGCCCAAACUUUACAUGGUACCAAAUAAUGGAUCAGAUCCAUCUGUAUGAACUAGAAGUGUUCCUAACUUCAAGCUUUACGUUCACUCUAUUGGUUUCUGCCAUGACAAAAGUCAAGAAGUCGGACUCUCAUAAACUCCCUAAAUACUGAAUAUUUAGCUAGAGAUUACAAUCCAGACAAACGAGCAACAACUCAUAAAACAAACCAAUUCCUACUAAUACUAGCUAACGGGCUACACUUCAAACUACACAGAAGAUCAGCCAUAAUUCAAGCC